CUGGACACCCCCUCGCAAAGACUGUCUGGACCUAAGUCGCUUUCAUCGCUGCUCGACUCCUCUUCCCACUCAUCAUCGGACGGGUCUUAACAGGCAAACACACACAGCGCUGCUCAAGAACAACAAAAGGAAAUAUUGCUGAUGAAAAGUGCCUGGGGUCAGCGCUGCUGUCCAUGCCCACAACACUCACCAUCAGAGCAGCACAUGUUGACGAUGAUCUCCAAGGACGUCUGCUGGGCUGUCAGCAAGGCCGUUGCCUCCCUCAGCUCCUCCUUGCCCCUCUGGACAGAGACAUGCAGCCAUCCUGCGGCUUGCUAUUCCUCCACUUCCUGUCAGUUGACCGACAGCCCGUUCAGACCAAUCCACAAUGACCUGCGUCUCACUUGAUUGGUUGAACCUCUGACGGAGGGCGGAACACAGAGACGGAGUCUGGGCCCCUACCCUUGUUAAGCUAGUGGUCUAGUGACGCUAGAUGGCGCCGUUUGAAGGUACAA